UACGUAGGUGACCAGCGUUGUCCGGAUUUACUGGGCGUAAAGAGCGCGCAGGCGGUCGUUCAAGUCGAGUGUGAAAGCCCCCGGCUCAACUGGGGAGGGUCACUCGAUACUGAUCGACUUGAAGGCAGGAGAGGGAAGCGGAAUUCCCGGUGUAGUGGUGAAAUGCGUAGAUAUCGGGAGGAACACCAGUGGCGAAGGCGGCUUC
rnacentral:rRNA from 1 species